rnacentral:rRNA from 1 species
GACGAACGCUGGCGGCGUGCUUAACACAUGCAAGUCGAACGAAGUGGCGAACGGGUGAGUAACGCGUAAUCAACCUGCCCUUCAGAGGGGGACAACAGUUGGAAACGACUGCUAAUACCGCAUACUGAAGGAGGGGAUUGCGUCUGAUUAGCCAGUUGGAGGGGUACCGGCCCACCAAGGCGAUGAUCAGUAGCCGGUCUGAGGGAGUGAACGGCCACAUUGGGAAUGAGUCACGGCCCAGAAGCCUACGGGAGGAAGGAGUUGGGAAUCUUCCGCAAUUGACGAAAGUCUUACGGAGCAACGCCGCGUGAGUGAGGACGGCCUUCGGGUUGUAAAGCUCUGUUAAUCGGGACGCGGUACCGGAAUAGAAAGCCACGGCUAACUACGUGCCAGCAGCCGCGGUAAUAC